rnacentral:lncRNA from 1 species
UUUGAAACUGCGUCAAUCAAGCAUCAAUAGAAAUUUUACACAGAGAACCAAACGGGUACACAUACAAUGAUGAAGUCACAUUUGAAUUGCUGUUUAAAAUUCGUCAACUUGUUUCGUUGCUAGUGGUUCAGGAUUAAAUGUUCAUCAUAAAAUUUGUCGGUUCUAUUAAUGCUUGAUUGUGAAUCGAGACCUGGUGUAAAAGUAGAACACAAUUCAAAGUCAAUCCUUCGACGAGAAAAAAUUUGAAGAAAUAAUGUUACGUGGGAGACUUAUUCAACAUUUACUUUGUUCGUUGAAUAUAAAUUUGGUGAAAAAUCACUUACUAUGGUUUGUAUAGUUUCGAGCAAGUUUAAUUGCAUUCAAC